rnacentral:lncRNA from 1 species
UAUGGUUUGAUUUGGUUUUGGUGUCCUAUUUCUUCAUAAAUUUUGGUAAAUUUUUAAAAUUUCAUAUUAAAGCAAAAUGCAUAGACUAAUAUGGCAAAUACAAUUUUUCUUCUUUCUUAUCUCUUUUUUCUUCAGGUUAAAGGUGUGACAGAUUCAAAAUUCUACAUUCCAAGAAUAACCCCCAGUGCCCGUCAACUUCUUUUGAGAACCAAUCAACCUGGCAACUUGUGGAAGUGAGGUAAAAUAGCUGACCCCACACACAUACAAGAAGUAAAUGCUAAUCAUCAAAAGUCACUGAGUGUUGUCCAGCAGACCAGUACAGAUGUCUGGUCAUUUGGCCUCAAACCAUC